CAUUCGCCCAUCUUCAUCCCCUGCGGGAGCAGAUUUUUUCUUUGUUGGACAAAAAGGAUAAGACUAUGCAACCCUGUCUCGAUUACCAGGGUCUCAACGAGAUAAUUGUUAAAACAGGUACCCUCUUCCUCUCAUCUCCACCGCCUUUUGAGUUCCUGGAGGGAGCCAAGGUUUUUACCAAACUAGACUUAAGAAAUGUGUCUCAUCUAUUCAGGAUAAGGGAGGGGGAUGAAUGGAAAACUGCAUUCAACACACCAACGGGACAUUAUGAGUAUUUGGUAAUGCCUUUUGGACUCACUAACGCUCCAGCUGUUUUCCAAAACCUUGUCAAUGAUGUCUUGUGUGACAUGUUGAGUGUGUAUGAUUUUGUCUAUUUGGACGACAUUUUAAUAUUCUCCCCAGAUGAGGAGACUCACAUUAUUCAUGUCCGCUCUGUAUUGCAGCGGUUACUGCAGAAUCAACUAUAUGUCAAUGCUGAGAAAUGUGAGUUCCACAAGGAAUCCGUUUCUUUUCUGGGUUUCAUGCUGGCUCAAGGUGAAGUCAAAAUGGACCCUUGCAAAGUCGAUGCCAUGAUUAAUUGGCCUACUCCCACGUCACGUAAAGAUGCACAGAGGUUCUUAAGCUCCGCAAACUUCUACAGAAAAUUCAUCAAAAAUUUCAGUCAAUAGCCUCGCCUUUGCAUGAUCUUACCUCACCACACAUACCCUUUGUGUGGAACCCGGUUUGUCAAUUAGCUUUACAGAAAUUAAAAUCGAGCUUUACCUCCGCACCCAUCCUCACUUUACCAGAUCUCAAACAGCAGUUUGUGGUACAAGUUAUGCGUCUGAUGCCGGUAUAGGAGCAGUGCUCUCUCAGAAAUGUCUCAAGGAUGGUAAGUUACAUCCUUGUGCUUAUCUCUCUAAAAAACUGACUCCAGCCGAGAGAAAUUAUGACAUAGGUGACUGUGAACUGCUGGCGGUCAAGGUGGCUUUGGUGGAGUGGAGGCACUGGCUAAAGGGGGCCACAGACUCCGUUUUUAGUAUAGACAGAUCACAAGAACCUAGAGUAUAUUAAAUCUGCUAAAAGAUUAAAUGUGAGGCAGGCUAGAUGGGCCCCGUUCUUCACUAGAUUUAAUUAUGUUAUCCCACCGACCUGGUUCUAAAAAUGGUAAGCCAGAUGCUUUAUCACGUAUUUUCUGCGAAGAUAAUUAUUUGUCCGACCCUAAGACUAUUUUAAGUCAUGUUUCAUUUCUGCUUUUGUUUGGGACGUGUUGGAUUGUUCUAUUUGUACUCAUGAAGCUAUGUUCCUUUCUUUAACAAUUAAGUUCCAUUUCCAAAACAUCCAAGGCCAGAGGGGUGCCCACAUCUUAGAAUGACUCCCUUUUCUUCUUUAUUGCACCCAAGAUAGAUUACUGAGGAAUGAUGUUCUUAGGAUGACUCACUUUUCUGAAAACAUCCAAGGUCAGAGGUACCUUCUGCUAAACAUAUAUCAAAACCUUCUGCUGAAUAGUCAUAACAAAACCUUCUAUGUGAAUAAAAGGAGUUAGCUAAAAUAAACGAGGUGUGUCAUUCAGUGAACCUGCACUCUGGUGGGCAGUUCAUUGAAUGCACCCUGAGACUCAGCACAUUAUGUCUUCCUUUUUUCUUCUCUUUUUGGAUAAAGAAAACGAACACGCCAUGACGAUUGAAGGUUCCAUAAUCUAUUGAACAUUGACAUUAUAUUACGUCCUUAACAGACGUUGAAACUGUGGUUAAAGAGGCCCUGAAGAACACUCUUAGCCCUGAAGAUUGCCCUGAAAACAGGCUUUAUGUUCUGACCUUAAGGGGAAGAGUCAUCGACUGGGCUCACACUAACCGGACCAUAUGUCACCCAGUUAUUGCCCAAACGCAAUCUGUGGUUGAACAGCGCUUUUGGUGGCCUAAUGUUUGGAGGGAUGUUAUCGAUUACGUCAAUGCUUGCCAGGUAUGUGCUGCUAACAAGCCCUCUCGUCAACGUCCUUCUGGGGAGUUGCGACCCCUGCCAAUACCACAACGUUCUUGGUCAGACAUUUCCAUAGACCUUGUGACAGGAUUACCGGCCUCUAAAGGUAAUACCACCAUUCUCACAGUUGUGGACAGGUUCUCUAAGAUGGCACACUUCCGAAACUCCCCUCAGCUAAAGACACUGCCGGUUUGAUGAUUAACCAGGAGUUUUGCAGUCUAAUAGGUCCUACCGUCAGUCUGUCAUCUGGGUUUCAUCCUGAAACCAACGGACAAACCAAGAGGCUGAACCAGGACCUGGAGACUGGGCUCCGAUGUCUCGCUUCACAGGAGCCACAAUCCUGGUCUCAGAAGCUGCCCCAGAGUCCACAGUUCCAGCGGCAUUGACAUUGGUGAGACGCUGCAGGAGGACCUGGGAGCGAGCCCACCAGAUGCUGCUGCACCAGGGAUGGUCCUACAAGACCGUAGGAGGACACCGGCCCCGAACUGCAAAGCGGGUCAGUUGGAGUGGAGUUUGGCUCUCCACCAAGCAUAUUCCACUCCGGGUGGAGUCCCGGAAGCUUGCUCCCAGGUUCGUUGGGCCCUUCCCCAUUAGAAAGAUCAUCAUCCAUAUCACCGUGAAGCUUAGGCUCCCAAAGUCGAUGCGGGUCAACCCUGCUUUUCACGUCAGCCUGCUCAAGCCCGCCUGGGAGUCCCCUCUGGUCCCGCCUUCCAUGCCCCCUCCUCCCCACCGGUUUGUGGAUGGAGGCCCUGUCUUCACUGUGAGGUGGCUGUUGUGGUCUCGUCGAAGGGGGAUGGGGUGGACUGGGAGGGCUACGGGCCUGAGGAACGUUCAUGGGUGCCGUCUGCGUUUAUCAUGGAUGACUCGCUCAUUCGGGACUUCCACGUUGCGCAUCGAAGGGCUCCGGGACCGUCUGGGGCCGGCCGUAAAGGGGGGGUGGGGGAGAGGGGUACUGUCAUGGGUGUGUGUUCUGGUUUUUGUCUUCAUCCUGUUUCAUACACACCUUCUCCUGAGAUUAUCUUCACCAACUGUGCCUCGUUCACCCUAAUUACCUCUUGCAUUUAACCUCGUGUCUCAUUCUUUCUCGUCACCAAUUCGUUGUACCUUGUCGUCGCGUUCCAGCAUUCCAUGUUUCCACAUCACAGACUCACAGUAAGACUAGCCCCUGUUCCGAUUAUCGACCUCGCCUUUUUGCCUCACGUUUUUGGAUACUGUUGCCUUUUUUGGAUUGCCUGCCUGUGUACGGACCUCUGCCUGUAUAUUAAAUCUCUCUUU